rnacentral:rRNA from 1 species
GUACACGGUGGAUGCCCUGGCAGUCAGAGGCGAUGAAGGGCGUGCUAAUCUGCGAUAAGCGCCGGUAAGGUGAUAUGAACCGUUAUAACCGGCGAUACCCGAAUGGGGAAACCCAGUGUGAUUCGUCACACUAUCAUUAACUGAAUCCAUAGGUUAAUGAGGCGAACCGGGGGAACUGAAACAUCUAAGUACCCCGAGGAAAAGAAAUCAACCGAGAUUCCCCCAGUAGCGGCGAGCGAACGGGGAGGAGCCCAGAGCCUGAAUCAGCAUGUGUGUUAGUGGAAGCGUCUGGAAAGGCGCGCGAUACAGGGUGACAGCCCCGUACACAAAAGCGCAUGUGCUGUGAGCUCGAUGAGUAGGGCGGGACACGUGGUAUCCUGUCUGAAUAUGGGGGGACCAUCCUCCAAGGCUAAAUACUCCUGACUGACCGAUAGUGAACCAGUACCGUGAGGGAAAGGCGAAAAGAACCCCGGCGAGGGGAGUGAAAAAGAACCUGAAACCGUGUACGUACAAGCAGUGGGAGCACCCUUUGGGGUGUGACUGCGUACCUUUUGUAUAAUGGGUCAGCGACUUAUAUUCUGUAGCAAGGUUAACCGAAUAGGGGAGCCGGAGGGAAACCGAGUCUUAACCGGGCGUUAAGUUGCAGGGUAUAGACCCGAAACCCGGUGAUCUAGCCAUGGGCAGGUUGAAGGUUGGGUAACACUAACUGGAGGACCGAACCGACUAAUGUUGAAAAAUUAGCGGAUGACCUGUGGCUGGGGGUGAAAGGCCAAUCAAACCGGGAGAUAGCUGGUUCUCCCCGAAAGCUAUUUAGGUAGCGCCUCGUGAAUUCAUCUCCGGGGGUAGAGCACUGUUUCGGCUAGGGGGCCAUCCCGGCUUACCAACCCGAUGCAAACUGCGAAUACCGGAGAAUGUUAUCACGGGAGACACACGGCGGGUGCUAACGUCCGUCGUGAAGAGGGAAACAACCCAGACCGCCAGCUAAGGUCCCAAAGUCAUGGUUAAGUGGGAAACGAUGUGGGAAGGCCCAGACAGCCAGGAUGUUGGCUUAGAAGCAGCCAUCAUUUAAAGAAAGCGUAAUAGCUCACUGGUCGAGUCGGCCUGCGCGGAAGAUGUAACGGGGCUAAACCAUGCACCGAAGCUGCGGCAGCGACGCUGAUGCGUUGUUGGGUAGGGGAGCG